UACGUAGGGCGCAAGCGUUGUCCGGAAUCAUUGGGCGUAAAGAGCUCGUAGGCGACCUGUCGCGUCCGCUGUGAAAUCCCGGGGCUUAACCCCGGGCGUGCAGUGGAUACGGGCUGGCUGGAGGCAGGCAGGGGAGAACGGAAUUCCCGGUGUAGCGGUGAAAUGCGCAGAUAUCGGGAGGAACACCGGUGGCGAAGGCGGUUCUCUGGGCCGAUAUUGACGCUGAGGAGCGAAAGCGUGGGGAGCGAACAGG
rnacentral:rRNA from 1 species